rnacentral:ncRNA from 2 species
UAACCAUAGCCCGACGUUGGUUCCUCGGACCCGUUCGGGCGAGGGGAUCAAAAGGGAACACGGUGCGGCGUACCCAUCAGGGACCAAAUCCGUGGCUGCCCCCGCAACUGUAAGCGGCGAGUGCCCUCCGAUGACCACUGGCGAUGCCGGGAAGGUGGGGGGACAUGAUGACCCGUGAGCCAGGAGACCUGCCAGCGUGCAACCGGGGAA